ACUCCACUCCUGGAUUUUACAGCUGCUGAGAAGGGGCCUGGAAGGAACAGAGGGUCACGCCUUGUGCCUGAAGGCACCAGCUAGUCAGCCAGCAGGGAUUAGAAUCUGGGUGUCCUGCCUCUCUGAUGUGGGCCAUCUACCUACAAAGGAUUCAGGGAAGACUGAGGCUCUAAGGAGGAAGGAGUCUGACGAAUCAGAAGCAGAGAAGACGACAUUUUGAGAAACUCCGUUGGAGCCUCCAGAAGGAACACAGCCUGCUGACCUUUUGCUUCCUGUCCAGUGAGACACUUUUUGGACUACUGAGCAGCAGAAAGCUGGCCGGUGUCUUUGUACUCAGGAGGGAAGAUUUUGUCUACCACCAAUCCAAGAUAAAAAGCCAUAGAGGAAGACCGUUGUGAAUGAACAGGAGUCAAGCAAGUGGUUUACCAACCACCUGUGCAGAAGAGAGGCGAUCAACCAAAAUACAAGGUAGAGAAGCAAGGCCAGCAAACAUUCUACAGCCUUAUAAUCCCCAGCAAAACCUCAGGCAGGGAGCUACUUGUCUGUGAAGUAGUCUCCCUGUAGCUCUGUCUCUUGCUCUUUUAUUCUCAAUAAACUAUAGU